CGAACAGCUGUUUAUUUUUGAGCGCAGCAGUAUAGACGCGUGUCGGUGAACGCAUCGAGGAAUACGCGACAAUUUCGAUUGUGAUAUUAACCGUGAUUGAAUAAUGAAACGAAUAGUUGAGUGAUAAGAAGAUUGCAGCGAUGAAAAGAGUGGAAUAGUGACAGAUCGUCAGCGUCGGGAAGAAAAACGAGUUUGCUAACAGGUCGCGUCAAGACAGUGGUGGCGGUGCGGACCUCGACGACGCGAACGUGUCCGUCGGCUCCGGAAAGCAAUUUGGUGAUGCGUGCUAGAGGCCACCUCGUUGGCGCGGUCAUUUUGUGACGUAUUAAACAGAGUCGACCGACGCGAGCUUCCCGGUUUAUUUUGAACCAUUUCGGCCGAUGAGCCAGCGUGUGUAGGUAUUCGCGGGACCAUCGGGACCAGAAAUGAUCCUUCAUCUGUUGUAGAAGCUGCCACCGGGAGAGGCGCGACGACGAUUCCUCGGUUAGCGACGGUUCGGGGACGGUGGAGAGCGCGGAGCCGAUGAGGAAAUGGCCGGGUGUCAGCGCACUGAAGUCCUCCGGGUCGUCGGUCAGCGGUUGCAGCGGCCGAGAGUUGAGGCAAGCCUCGACCUGGGAGAGGAGAGUGGCCAUCUCCUCGUAGAUACCACCGAAGUUGGGCGCAGCCGGCGGGUUGAACCGCCACUGAAUUUGCUCCUGAGCAGCGAAGGAGGCGACGCGACGUCCUUCAGGGUUUGUGGCUGAGAAUAAGUCUCGGAGUUGAGUGUCGGUGCCUAUGAAGGUGGUCCCACAGUCGCUGUAUAGCGUGUGACAUACACCUCGCCGAGCGAUGAACCGACGCAAGGAUGCCAAGAAAGCGUCGGCCGAGUAGUCCGAGGCGACAUCAAGAUGGACGGCCCUGGAACCUAAACGGAUGAAGACGACAAUGAAGGCUUUAGAAGAUUUGUGCCCGCGGCCUUUGGCACUUCGCAGCCAGACGGGUCCGGCGUAGUCGACGUCAGUAUGGAGGAACGGUCUUUCUGGCGUCACUCGGGGUGCAGGCAAGUCACCCAUGAGAGGCUGUGCUGUAGCCGACCGCCAUCGCAGGCAUCUAACGCAGCGGUGAAUGUGGUUUUUGACGAGGAAUCGUCCACGAGGAAUCCAGAAUUCUUGACGGAUGGAACACAGGGUCAGCUGGGUGCCCCCAUGCAACGAUCGUCGGUGAUGUUCAUCGAUGACGAGCUUGGACGACCCGUAUCCAGUGGAUCAGCGCGUCAUGAAGUUCUUCAGCGUCUACCCCGCCGUCGCGAUUGAGAAGGAUGGGCUGCCGUCGGCGUUGUCGUAACCACCGGAGACACCAGGCGGUGAUGCGAAGUAGUCGCUGCAGGGAAGAGUAUCGGAGUAGCAGCUCCGGUUCGUCUCCUCGCUUGUCCAAGACUGCAGCGUGCGAACGGGCUCGACGGUCGGGUAGCUCGACGUUGCUGAGAUCAUCUCCGAAGACAGUCCAAGGGCCGCUCUCCGUUUUCAGCCAAGAGGGACCCUGCCACCAAAGUGGAUGCGCCUCAAGCUCUCCAGGGAAGAUGCCUCGAGAGGCGCAGUCUGCCGGGUUUUCGCGUCCAGGGACAUGAUGCCAAAGAGCGUCGGGGAGCGACGUCUGAAUUUCGCUGACCCGGUUGGCAACGAAUGUGACCCAGGAAGAAGGAUGUCCACGGAUCCAGCCGAGAGCCACCGUGGAGUUUGACCAGAGAUGAAGAGGCGCCUUUUCAGCUCCGAUGAGAGGCAGCGUUUGCUGAACGAGGCGGACCAGAAGAGUUGCGGCUGAUAAUUCGAGCCGAGGUACACCACAGCAGCGUAGGCACGGACUGAGGCGUCAGCGAAUCCGUGGACUUCCAGGCGGCAGUCAGUCGAUCCUCCGCCCAGCCAUCGAGGAACGUGCAGUCUCUCCAGUUGGGGGAGCUCCGCUUGGAAGCGUAACCAGGCCUUCUCAUGGUCGUCCGGAAGAGGAGUGUCCCAGUCGAUACCGAGUAACCACGUAGACUGGAUUAGAGUCUUGGCGAGAACAGUCGUGGGAGACAGCCAACCGAGCGGAUCAAAUAGCUUCGCUGUCAACGAUAAAACUGACCGCUUUGUGAUCGUGGACAGCGUUGGUUGGCUGGUGGCAAAGAAGAAGAGGUCGUCGCAAGGUUGCUACCGUAAUCCCAGAGUGGCAUGACUUUCCCCAGGCAACCACCAUCUUGCCUCUUGCUGGAGGCAGUCUUCGGUAGGUAAUGUAGACAGUAACUGAGGGUGAUUAGCUGACCAUUUUUUCAGAGGGAAGCCUCCCGCCUUGCAGACCAGAACAAGCUGUCGGAGGAUUUCCUUGGCUUCCUGGAGGGUAGAAGCUCCAGACAGGAUGUCGUCCAUGUAAACGUCGGAGCGGAGGACCGCGGCUCCCUCAGGAUGACGAUCGCCUUCGUCCACGGCGAGCUGGUGCAGCGUGCGGAUGGCCAAAUAUGGAGCGCAGGCUAAGCCGCUCUGAUCAUCGGCAUGUACCAGGAUUUGCCGGUACAUUUUUUCAAUGUCGGUAGCAAAGACGUACCGGUGCCUUUUCCACCGUAGUAGGAUGUCAGCUAGGGCGGGAAGCAGGUUGGGUCCCGUCAUCAGAAAUCGGUUGAGACAGUCGCCGUUGGCCAAGGAGCUCGAACCGUUGAAGACCACUCUCAACUUAGUAGAGGCACUGCUUUCGCGCAGGACCCCGUGGUGAGGAAGGUAGCAGGUUCGUUGUAGAGAUCCAGUAGUCGACAGGGGAGCCGGCUUUAUAUGGUUGAGGUCCAAGUAUUGCUUCAUGAAAUCCACGUACAUGCUGCGGAAGGUACUUUCUCGUUCUAGUUUUUUGCUGACGUGUUGCAGGGCCCGACUGGCGGCGCGUCGAGUGGCUGAGAGGUCAGGCAGAGGCUCGAUCGUCGGCAGUCUCACCACAUAUCGACCGUUGGCUGUACGAGGGUGAUGUCGCAGGAAGUGAUCCUCGCACUCCUGGUCAGCCUUAGAAAAGAGUUGUGGAGGCCGUUGAAGCUCCUCCUGCUCCCAGAAGCGACGCACCAGGAUAGAGACGUCGUCUUCAAUUCGGCAUUGGCCCUGACAGAGGAUUGAACCGUAAACGUCCGCGCCAAGGAGGAUGUCAACCGGAUCAGCUGAGCGAUAAUCAGGGUCCGCGAGUUCCAGACCCUGAAGAUGAGACCAGUUUUGCCCGCCGCCGCUGUAGCCGCCGGCGUAGAUGGUCAGCUUCGGCAGCACCAGAGCGUGGACGGUGAUGGAAGAGCAGCCACUAAGAAACUGGAGGGCUUCGUCGUCUUAUCCUGGCCGAUGAGGGAGACGAAGAGGUCUCGGAAGGCCGGCCAAUCCUCGUAUCUUCCCGUAAAGGUCGGCAGCUGGAUUCGAGGUAGCGUGGUGCGAGGCGCCGAUGUUGAUGUCUCUGAAGUAGCAGAAGCAGCGGCGCGUUCCUUUUUCUGGAGAGUACGCCGCAACUCCAACAUCAGGCCCUUGUUCACUAGUUCGUCUACACGCUCAGCCAAGAUAUCAUUCAUCGCAUCGAACUUCUCCCACAGUUUGUCGAGAUUCAGAAGCCGGGCUUCCACCGCGUCGAGUGUGAUGUUGGCCUCGCCGAGCUUCCGAAGGUUAUCGUAUGCGCGCGAGAUCUUGCCAUAUAGCGCGGUGGCGUUGGUAAUUAUAGUUGUUGUGUCUGCCAUCUCUGACACUGUCUUACUUUCAGAUGCACUGGUCACCUACACUGAUAAACUAUACGCUUCCGUGGCACCGGAUUCACAGGAGGUUCUGGGGUCUCCGGCUCGAAGGACCAAAAAUAAUGUGCGCGACGGAAGGCAGGAUGGGAAGGUCGGAAGCGAGAAGACAGAGAAGCACUGCACGCGACACACACGUAUCGUUUAAUAUAAAACUAUAUUUAAGACUAAGACAAAGAAAAAUACAAGUAUUGA